rnacentral:rRNA from 1 species
GAUGAACGCUGGCGGCGUGCCUAAUACAUGCAAGUCGAGCGAACAGACGAGGAGCUUGCUCCUCUGACGUUAGCGGCGGACGGGUGAGUAACACGUGGAUAACCUACCUAUAAGACUGGGAUAACUUCGGGAAACCGGAGCUAAUACCGGAUAAUAUAUUGAACCGCAUGGUUCAAUAGUGAAAGACGGUUUUGCUGUCACUUAUAGAUGGAUCCGCGCCGCAUUAGCUAGUUGGUAAGGUAACGGCUUACCAAGGCAACGAUGCGUAGCCGACCUGAGAGGGUGAUCGGCCACACUGGAACUGAGACACGGUCCAGACUCCGACGGGAGGCAGCAGUAGGGAAUCUUCCGCAGUGGGCGAAAGCCUGACGGAGCAACGCCGCGUGAGUGAUGAAGGUCUUCGGAUCGUAAAACUCUGUUAUUAGGGAAGAACAAAUGUGUAAGUAACUAUGCACGUCUUGACGGUACCUAAUCAGAAAGCCACGGCUAACUACGU